CUAAGACGUUGAUAGGCUGGGUGUGUAAGCGUAGCGAUACGUUGAGCUAACCAGUACUAAUGAACCGUGAGGCUUAACCU
rnacentral:rRNA from 1 species